rnacentral:rRNA from 1 species
CCUCCGUGAGGCAGCAGUGGGGAAUAUUGCACACUGGGGGAAACCCUGAUGCAGCGAAGCCGCUUGAGUGAAGAAGUAAUUCGUUAUGUAAAGCUCUAUCAGCAGGGCAGAACAUGACGGUACCUGAGUAAGCAGCCCCGGCUAACUCCGUGCCAGCAGCAGCGGUAAUACGUAGGGGGCAAGCGUUAUACGGAUUUACUGGGUGUAAAGGGAGCGUAGACGUCAGUUCAAGUCUGGAGUGAAAGGCGGGGGCUCAACCCCCGGACUGCUCUUGAAACUGUACGGCUGGAGUGCAGGAGAGGUAAGUGGAAUUCCUAGUGUAGCGGUGAAAUGCGUAGAUAUUAGGAGGAACACCAGUGGCGAAGGCGGCUUACUGGACUGUAACUGACGUUGAGGCUCGAAAGCGUGGGGAGCAAACAGGAUUAGAUACCCGUGUAGUC